rnacentral:pre_miRNA from 1 species
CCUUGUGGAUGAGUAAAGAAAGUGGUUUCUUGAGAUAUAAUCUACUCCUGGUGAAGAUGCUAUAUGUA